rnacentral:rRNA from 1 species
UCGGGAAUUUUGGGCAAUGGGCGAAAGCCUGACCCAGCAACGCCGCGUGAAGGAUGAAGUCUCUCGGGAUGUAAACUUCGUAAGAAUAGGAAGAAUAAAUGACGGUACUAUUUGUAAGGUCCGGCUAACUACGUGCCAGCAGCCGCGGUAAUACGUAGGGACCAAGCGUUGUUCGGAUUUACUGGGCGUAAAGGGCGCGUAGGCGGCGUGGUAAGUCACUUGUGAAAUCUCCGAGCUUAACUCGGAACGGUCAAGUGAUACUGCUGUGCUAGAGUACAGAAGGGGCAAUCGGAAUUCUUGGUGUAGCGGUGAAAUGCGUAGAUAUCAAGAGGAACACCUGAGGCGAAGGCGGGUUGCUGGGCUGAUACUGACGCUGAGGCGCGAAAGCUAGGGUAGCAAACGGGAUUAGAUACCCAAGUAGUCCCUGAGCGGGCUGGCAAGGCGCAU